CAUAAUUAUCCUUUUUACCAUCUCAUUCCUGGAAGUGAAAUUCCGAAAUGGUUUAGCCACCAAAAUUUGGGGGCUUCAGUGAGUCUGCAAGUGCCCUCAGAUUUAUUAUGUAACAAAUUGAUGGGAAUCGCAAUAUGCGCUGUUUUUAUAUUCCGCCAGCAUCAUCCACUUCACCAACUUCAUAUUAACGAUUAUGGAGAUAUGAUAGCGAAAUGGAAAGAAAUAUUGAAUCAAGUCGACGCUAACGGAUUCAACCAGAUUGAAGUUAAAUGUGAACCCGAAGGUCCAGGAUUGGAGGUUACAAAAUGCGGGGCCCAUCUGGUAUUCGAGCGAGACAUUGAAGACCUAAUAAACCAAACUAAGGUUGGGUCUAGCAGCUGCAUCAUCACUCACGAUGAGGAUGGUUUUGAGGAUUCAGAAAAAGAUACCAAAAUUAAGCGAAGCAGUGAUGACUUUGAUGGGGAAGGGGCUGGACCUAGUGGAGAAGCUACCCCAAAUGACGAACCACCACACCUAAAUCUAAUUGAAAAUUGGUUUGGGAAUUCUGAUUGUGAGGAAGAGGAAUCUCAAUGAAAGUUAUAGCAUUUAUGGAAUCUGCACUGCCGAUCAACUUUCUUCUCUCUGAUUUUAUUAUACAAAGAAGUAUUUGGACUUUGUUGGAAAGGAGAAACUGUCACAUUGCUAGCUGACGAAAAGGCAUGUGGAACUGAUUGUAUGGUAGUCAUUUUUGUUCAAUUGUGUUGGAU